AAAUGCUUAGGUAGUAUACUUAUUACUUUGGU
rnacentral:tRNA from 1 species